rnacentral:rRNA from 1 species
AUUGAACGCUGGCGGCAGGCCUAACACAUGCAAGUCGAGCGGGGUUUUCGGACCUAGCGGCGGACGGGUGAGUAAUGCGUAGGAAGCUACCCGAUAGAGGGGGAUACCAGUUGGAAACGACUGUUAAUACCGCAUAAUGUCUACGGACCAAAGUGUGGGACCUUCGGGCCACAUGCUAUCGGAUGCGCCUACGUGGGAUUAGCUAGUUGGUGGGGUAAUGGCUCACCAAGGCGACGAUCCCUAGCUGGUUUGAGAGGAUGAUCAGCCACACUGGAACUGAGACACGGUCCAGACUCCUACGGGAGGCAGCAGUGGGGAAUAUUGGACAAUGGGCGCAAGCCUGAUCCAGCCAUGCCGAGUGUGUGAAGAAGGCCUUCGGGUUGUAAAGCACUUUCAGUAGGGAGGAAGGGGGUUGUGUUAAUAGCACAGCAUUUUGACGUUACCUACAGAAGAAGCACCGGCUAACUCUGUGCCAGCAGCCGCAGUAAGAC